rnacentral:rRNA from 1 species
CCCUUAGAUGUUCUGGGCCGCACGCGCGCUACACUGUUCGACGCAGCGAGUCUUAACCUUGACCGAAAGGUUUGGGUAAUCUUCAGCAAAGUCGAACGUGAUGGGGAUCGAUCAUUGCAAUUAUUGAUCGUGAACGAGGAAUUCCUAGUAAGUGCAAGUCAUCAGCUUGCGCUGAUUACGUCCCUGCCCUUUGUACACACCGCCCGUCGCUACUACCGAUUGAAUGGUUUAGUGAGAUCUCUGGAUUGACGCUGGCUAGGGGGCGACCCUUGGGCAGGCUGUCGAGAAACUGCUCAAACUUGAUCAUUUAGAGGAAGUAAAAGUCGUAACA